rnacentral:rRNA from 1 species
CCUACGGGAGGCAGCAGUGAGGAAUAUUGGUCAAUGGGCUUACGCCUGAACCAGCCAAGUCGCGUGAGGGAAGACUGCCCUAUGGGUUGUAAACCUCUUUUGUCAGGGAGCAACGCCGGCUACGUGUAGCCGGACUGAGAGUACCUGAAGAAAAAGCAUCAGCUAACUCCGUGCCAGCAGCCGCGGUAAUACGGAGGAUGCGAGCGUUAUCCGGAUUUAUUGGGUUUAAAGGGUGCGUAGGCGGAAUGCCAAGUCAGCGGUAAAAUCGCGGGGCUCAACCUCGCUCCGCCGUUGAAACUGGCGUUCUUGAGUGGGCGAGAAGUAUGCGGAAUGCGUGGUGUAGCGGUGAAAUGCAUAGAUAUCAAGAGGAAUACUCAUUGCGAAGGCGACCUGCUAGAACAUAACUGACGCUGAUGCGCGAAAGCGUGGGGAGCAAACAGGAUUAGAUACCCCAGUAGUC